rnacentral:rRNA from 2 species
AGCGGCGGACGGGUGAGUAACACGUGGGCAACCUGCCUGUAAGACUGGGAUAACUCCGGGAAACCGGAGCUAAUACCGGAUACUAUGUCAAACCGCAUGGUUUGACAUUCAAAGACGGUUUCGGCUGUCACUUACAGAUGGGCCCGCGGCGCAUUAGCUAGUUGGUGAGGUAAUGGCUCACCAAGGCGACGAUGCGUAGCCGACCUGAGAGGGUGAUCGGCCACACUGGGACUGAGACACGGCCCAGACUCCUACGGGAGGCAGCAGUAGGGAAUCUUCCGCAAUGGACGAAAGUCUGACGGAGCAACGCCGCGUGAGUGAUGAAGGUUUUCGGAUCGUAAAACUCUGUUGUCAGGGAAGAACAAGUGCCGGAGUAACUGCCGGCACCUUGACGGUACCUGACCAGAAAGCCACGGCUAACUACGUGCCAGCAGCCGCGGUAAUACGUAGGUGGCAAGCGUUGUCCGGAAUUAUUGGGCGUAAAGCGCGCGCAGGCGGUUUCUUAAGUCUGAUGUGAAAGCCCCCGGCUCAACCGGGGAGGGUCAUUGGAAACUGGGAAACUUGAGUGCAGAAGAGGAGAGUGGAAUUCCACGUGUAGCGGUGAAAUGCGUAGAGAUGUGGAGGAACACCAGUGGCGAAGGCGACUCUCUGGUCUGUAACUGACGCUGAGGCGCGAAAGCGUGGGGAGCGAACAGGAUUAGAUACCCUGGUAGUCCACGCCGUAAACGAUGAGUGCUAAGUGUUAGAGGGUUUCCGCCCUUUAGUGCUGCAGCUAACGCAUUAAGCACUCCGCCUGGGGAGUACGGUCGCAAGACUGAAACUCAAAGG